rnacentral:rRNA from 1 species
AGUGGCGAACGGGUGAGUAAUACAUCGGAACAUGUCCUGUAGUGGGGGAUAGCCCGGCGAAAGCCGGAUUAAUACCGCAUACGAUCUGAGGAUGAAAGCGGGGGACCUUCGGGCCUCGCGCUAUAGGGUUGGCCGAUGGCUGAUUAGCUAGUUGGUGGGGUAAAGGCCUACCAAGGCGACGAUCAGUAGCUGGUCUGAGAGGACGACCAGCCACACUGGGACUGAGACACGGCCCAGACUCCUACGGGAGGCAGCAGUGGGGAAUUUUGGACAAUGGGCGAAAGCCUGAUCCAGCAAUGCCGCGUGUGUGAAGAAGGCCUUCGGGUUGUAAAGCACUUUUGUCUGGAAAGAAAUCCUUGGUUCUAAUAUAGCCGGGGGAUGACGGUACCGGAAGAAUAAGCACCGGCUAACUACGUGCCAGCAGCCGCGGUAAUACGUAGGGUGCAAACGUUAAUCGGAAUUACUGGGCGUAAAGCGUGCGCAGGCGGUUUGCUAAGACCGAUGUGAAAUCCCCGGGCUCAACCUGGGAACUGCAUUGGUGACUGGCAGGCUAGAGUAUGGCAGAGGGGGGUAGAAUUCCACGUGUAGCAGUGAAAUGCGUAGAGAUGUGGAGGAAUACCGAUGGCGAANGCAGCCCCCUGGGCCAAUACUGACGCUCAUGCACGAAAGCGUGGGGAGC